rnacentral:rRNA from 1 species
UACGUAGGGGGCAAGCGUUGUCCAGAAUCAUUGGGCGUAAAGAGCGUGUAGGCGGCUCGGUAAGUCAGUGGUGAAAUCCCCGAGCUUAACUUGGGAACUGCCGUUGAUACUAUCUGUCUUGAAUACCGUGGAGGUGAGCGGAAUAUGUCAUGUAGCGGUGAAAUGCUUAGAUAUGACAUAGAACACCAAUUGCGAAGGCAGCUCGCUACACGAAUAUUGACUCUGAGGCACGAAAGCGUGGGGAUCAAACAGG